AACGAACGCUGACGGCAGGCCUAACACAUGCAAGUCGAGCGAAGCCUUCGGGCUUAGCGGCGGACGGGUGAGUAACGCGUGGGAACGUGCCCUGUGGUACGGAAUAGCCGCGGGAAACUGGGAGUAAUACCGUAUGUGGUCGAGAGACGAAAGAUUUAUCGGCAAGGGAUCGGCCCGCGUUGGAUGAGGUAGUUGGUGGGGUAAUGGCUUACCAGGCCGACGAGACAUAGCUGGUUUGAGAGGAUGAUCAGCCACACUGGGACUGAGACACGGUCCAGACUCCUACGGGAGGCAGCAGUGGGGAAUCUUAGACAAUGGGGGAAACCCUGAUCUAGCCAUGCCGCGUGAUCGAUGAAGGCCUUAGAGUUGUAAAGAUCUUUCAGAGGGGAAGAUGAUGACUGUACCCACAGAAGAAGCCCCGGCUAACUCCGUGCCAGCCGCCGCCGUAAUAC
rnacentral:rRNA from 1 species